rnacentral:rRNA from 1 species
UACGUAGGGUGCGAGCGUUGUCCGGAAUUAUUGGGCGUAAAGAGCUCGUAGGCGGUCUGUCGCGUCGGUCGUGAAAACUUGGGGCUUAACCCUGAGCUUGCGGUCGAUACGGGCAUGACUGGAGUUCGGCAGGGGAGACUGGAAUUCCUGGUGUAGCGGUGAAAUGCGCAGAUAUCAGGAGGAACACCAGUGGCGAAGGCGACUCUUUGGCCUGUAACUGACACUGAGGCGCGAAAGCGUGGGGAGCAAACAGG